AGCGAACGCUGGCGGCAGGCUUAACACAUGCAAGUCGAACGGACCCUUCGGGGUUCGUGGCGGACGGGUGAGUAACACGUGGGAACGUGCCUUUAGGUUCGGAACAACACAGGGAAACUUGUGCUAAUACCGGCUGUGCCCUUCGGGGGAAAGAUUUAUCGCCUUUAGAGCGGCCCGCGUCUGAUUAGCUAGUUGGUGGGGUAAAGGCCUACCAAGGCGACGAUCAGUAGCUGGUCUGAGAGGAUGGCCAGCCACAUUGGGACUGAGACACGGCCCAAACUCCUACGGGAGGCAGCAGUGGGGGAUCUUGCGCAAUGGGCGAAAGCCUGACGCAGCCAUGCCGCGUGAAUGAUGAAGGUCUUAGGAUUGUAAAAUUCUUUCACCGGGGACGAUAAUGACGGUACCCGGAGAAGAAGCCCCGGCUAACUUCGUGCCAGCAGCCGCGGUAA
rnacentral:rRNA from 1 species